rnacentral:misc_RNA from 1 species
UUUGGCGUGUGAGUGGUGUUUGGUGGUGUGUGUUGGCAGGCUCCGUGCUUCAUGCAUCGAACUGUCGAGCCGCACUACUCUUCAAUGUCCUCCCCUUGUGGCCGUCGAGCCCAAGGGGUGCGAUAGGGAUCCUGUGUUGCGUACCUAAAUCGAUGGAAUAUCGGAUGUAUUGCCAUCCCUUGUCCGUCAAGUGACCUUGUGGUUGCUUGGUGGACCUCAGUCGUGCCCGGUGUCCCGAGUGUGUCGAUCGACAUGAUUCGACUACGUCGGUGCAUCGAUGCUCGAUCGUGCUUUCGGAUGCGGAAUAUCUCAUGAGCGUAGGGUCUAGGCCCUGUUCGCUCGUAGCUUGUGCAUUUUGUCCCUCGACACGAACGAUGCUCUCGCCUCGUUAUGGCCUCUCCCCUGCCUAGGUAGUGUGUUGAGGACCAUGCGGGACGGACGUCGCGAAGGAAUGCUACCUGGUUGAUCCUGCCAGUAGUCAUAUGCUUGUCUCAAAGAUUAAGCCAUGCAUGUGA